GACGAACGCUGGCGGCGUGCUUAACACAUGCAAGUCGAACGGAAAGGCCCUGCUUUUGUGGGGCGCUCGAGUGGCGAACGGGUGAGUAACACGUGAGUAACCUGCCCUUGACUUUGGGAUAACUUCAGGAAACUGGGGCUAAUACCGGAUAGGAGCUCCUGCUGCAUGGUGGGGGUUGGAAAGUUUCGGCGGUUGGGGAUGGACUCGCGGCUUAUCAGCUUGUUGGGGGGGUAGUGGCUUACCAAGGCUUUGACGGGUAGCCGGCCUGAGAGGGUGACCGGCCACAUUGGGACCGAGAUACGGCCCAGACUCCUACGGGAGGCAGCAGGGGGGAAUCUUGCACAAUGGGCGGAAGCCUGAUGCAGCAACGCCGCGUGCGGGAUGACGGCCUUCGGGUUGUAAACCGCUUUCGCCUGUGACGAAGCGUGAGUGACGGUAAUGGGUAAAGAAGCACCGGCUAACUACGUG
rnacentral:rRNA from 1 species